ACUCCUACGGGAGGCAGCAGUGGGGGAUUUUGCACAAUGGGCGCAAGCCUGAUGCAGCGACGCCGCGUGAGGGAUGGAGGCCUUCGGGUUGUGAACCUCUGUCGCCGGUGAUGUAGGCUCUGCUUUGUGGGUGGGGUUGACGGUAGCCGGGGUAUGAAGUGCCGGCUAACUACGUGCCAGCAGCCGCGGUAAUACGUAGGGCGCGAGCGUUGUCCGGAAUUAUUGGGCGUAAAGAGCUCGUAGGCGGCUGGUCGCGUCUGUCGUGAAAUCCUCUGGCUUAACUGGGGGCGUGCGGUGGGUACGGGCCGGCUUGAGUGCGGUAGGGGAGGCUGGAAUUCCUGGUGUAGCGGUGGAAUGCGCAGAUAUCAGGAGGAACACCGGUGGCGAAGGCGGGUCUCUGGGCCGUGUACUGACGCUGAGGAGCGAAAGCGUGGGGAGCGAACAGGAUUAGAUACCCUGGUAGUCCAUGCUGUAAACGUUGGGCACUAGGUGUGGGGGGUCUUUCCGGGUCUUCCGCGCCGUAGCUAACGCAUUAAGUGCCCCGCCUGGGGAGUACGGCCGCAAGGCUAAAACUCAAAGGAAUUGACGGCGCCCGCACAAG
rnacentral:rRNA from 1 species